rnacentral:rRNA from 1 species
AGCAGCCGCGGUAAUUCCAGCUCCAAUAGCGUAUAUUAAAGUUGUUGCGGUUAAAAAGCUCGUAGUUGAAUUUCGGGGUCAGUAAGUUGGUCGUGCCACUGGUAUGUACUGGCUUUACUGAUUCCUCCUUCUUGUAGAACCGUAAUGCCAUUAAGUUGGUGUUGCGGGAAAACAGGACUGUUACUUUGAAAAAAUUAGAGUGUUUAAAGCAAGCUAACGCUUGAAUACAUUAGCAUGGAAUAAUGAAAUAGGACGAACGAUCCUAUUUUGUUGGUUUCUAGGAUUGACGUAAUGAUUAAUAGGGAUAGUUGGGGGCAUUAGUAUUCAAUUGUCAGAGGUGAAAUUCUUGGAUUUAUUGAAGACUAACUACUGCGAAAGCAUUUGCCAAGGAUGUUUUCAUUAAUCAAGAACGAAAGUUAGGGGAUCGAAGACGAUCAGAUACCGUCGUAGUCUUAACCAUAAACUAUGCCGACUAGGGAUCGGAUGAUGUUAAUUUUUUUAAUGACUCGUUUGGCACCUU